rnacentral:sRNA from 1 species
AGGGCCGGGCGAUAAUGGCGGCGUCGAGGCUGGAGCUAAACCUGGUGCGGCUGCUAUCCCGCUGCGAGGCGAUGGCAGCGGAGAAACGGGACCCGGACGAGUGGCGCCUGGAGAAGUACGUGGGAGCCCUAGAGGACAUGUUGCAGGCCCUGAAGGUCCACGCGAGGUGAGUGCAGGCAGCCUCAGGGCUUUCACAUCAGCACGUGGCUGUGCUACUGGGACAUCCCAGUACCGCUAUCCCAGCUGGGACCCUUCCCUGAGCUGGGGACCAUGGACAGGUUUUGUUUUUCUUCUUCCUGCCUUCCAGCAAACCGGCCUCUGAGGUGAUCAAUGAAUAUUCCUGGAAGGUGGAUUUUCUGAAGGGGAUGCUGCAAGCCGAGAAGCUGACCUCCUCCUCAGAGAAAGCACUGGCCAACCAGUUCCUGGCCCCUGGCCGUGUGCCAACCACAGCCAGAGAGCGAGUGCCCGCCACAAAGACGGUGCAUCUGCAGUCACGGGCGCGGUACACCAGCGAGAUGCGGAGUGAGCUACUAGGCACGGACUCUGCAGGUGAGUCACCAUGAACACAACAGGACU